CGGCAUAGCUCAGUUGGUAGAGCAGUUGAUUUGUAAUCAUCAGGUCGGGAGUUCAAGUCUCUCUGCCGGC
rnacentral:tRNA from 3 species